GUGACAUCAUAUCUUCAUUGAAGUCUUGGCCGACCACAAAAGACGCCGGGAAUCGGCCAGCAACCUUCCGAAAAAGAAAGUCCGGGAUCCCGCCGGCCAAUCGGAUGGCGCGGUGGGCGGGGCUUCCGCUCUCGGGGCAUUGCUGUUGCAGCUCGUGGCAUUCUGGAGUACAGAGUUCAAUUCUGGCGCCGUUCUGUAAGGAGUAUGUGCUGCAUGUGAAAUGCGUGGGUUUCCGCCGGGUGCUCCAGUUUCCUCCCACAGUCCAAAGUUCGUAGGUUAAUUGGCGGUGAGUUUUCUUUGAUGGAUUGCUGCCCAGAACUGAAACAGAUGGCAGGCAUAUUGUCUAUAUGCCUAUUGGAAUGAAGAGUAGGAAAACAAAAAAAAACUACACUGGCUAUCUUCUCAACUCUCCACUUAAAAGGAAUUUGAAAGUGGUGUAGGAUGGAGGUAUUUGCCUUAAGCUCAACAUGAGGCUAAAGUUGGAAG